UACCCGCUGAACUUAAGCAUAUCAAUAAGCGGAGGAAAAGAAACUAACAAGGAUUCCCCUAGUAACUGCGAGUGAAGCGGGAAAAGCUCAAAUUUGAAAUCUGGCAGUCUUUUUUUUCUUCUUUGGCUUCCGAGUUGUAAUCUAGAGAAGUGCUUACCUGCACUGGACCAUGUAUAAGUCUCCUGGAAUGGAGCGUCGCAGAGGGUGAGAAUCCCGUCUUUGACAUGGACUGCCAGUGUGUUGUGGUGUGCUCUCAAAGAGUCGAGUUGUUUGGGAAUGCAGCUCUAAAUGGGUGGUAAACUCCAUCUAAAGCUAAAUAUUGGCGAGAGACCGAUAGUGAACAAGUACCGUGAGGGAAAGAUGAAAAGGACUUUGGAAAGAGAGUUAAACAGUAUGUGAAAUUGUUGAAAGGGAAACGCUUGAAGUCAGUUAUGUUGGCUAGGGAUCAACCUAGCUACUUUUGCUGGGUGAAUUUCCUAGUCUUACAGGCCAACAUCAGUCUUGACUGCUGGAAAAGAGCAGAGGGAAUGUGGCACCUUCGGGUGUGUUAUAGCCCUUCGUCAUAUGUGGCAGUCGGGACUGAGGGAUGCAGCAUGCCGCGAGGCUGGGUUUCUGACCACGUUCAUGCUUAGGAUGUUGGCUUUUAAUGGCUUCAAUCGACCCGUCUUGAAACACGGACCAAGGAGUCUAACAUGCCUGCGAGUGUUUGGGUGGGGAAAAACCCUUGUGCACAAUGAAAGUGAAAGUUGAGAUCCCUGUCAUGGGGAGCAUCGACGCCCGGACUUGAGCUUUUAGCGACGGAUCCGCGGUAGAGCAUGCAUGUUGGGACCCGAAAGAUGGUGAACUAUGCCUGAAUAGGGCAAAGCCAGAGGAAACUCUGGUGGAGGCUCGUAGCGAUUCUGACGUGCAAAUCGAUCGUCAAAUUUGGGUAUAGGGGCGAAAGACUAAUCGA
rnacentral:rRNA from 1 species